ACCUGACUGCUAUCGGAUUGAUACUAAGCCAUGCGAGUCUUUGCAGUAAUGCAAGGCAUACGGCUCAGUAACGCGUAGUCAACCUAACCUAUGGACGGGAAUAACCUCGGGAAACUGAGAAUAAUGCCCGAUAGAACACUAUACCUGGAAUGGUUUGUGUUCCAAAUGAUUUAUCGCCAUAGGAUGGGACUGCGGCCUAUCAGUUUGUUGGUGAGGUAAUGGCCCACCAAGACUAUUACAGGUACGGGCUCUGAGAGGAGUAGCCCGGAGAUGGGUACUGAGACACGGACCCAGGCCCUAUGGGGCGCAGCAGGCGAGAAAACUUUGCAAUGUGCGAAAGCACGACAAGGUUAAUCCGAGUGAUUUGUGCUAAACGAAUCUUUUGUUAGUCCUAGAAACACUAACGAAUAAGGGGUGGGCAAGUUCUGGUGUCAGCCGCCGCGGUAAAACCAGCACCUCAAGUGGUCAGGAUGAUUAUUGGGCCUAAAGCAUCCGUAGCCGGCUCUGUAAGUUUUCGGUUAAAUCUGUACGCUCAACGUACAGGCUGCCGGGAAUACUGCAGAACUAGGGAGUGGGGGAGGUAGACGGUACUCGGUAGGAAGUGGUAAAAUGCUUUGAUCUAUCGAUGACCACCUGUGGCGAAGGCGGUCUACCAGAACACGUCCGACGGUGAGGGAUGAGAGCUGGGGGAGCAAACCGGAUUAGAUACCCGGGUAGUCCCAGCUGUAAACUAUGCAAACUCAGUGAUGCAUUGGCUUGUGGCCAAUGCAGUGCUGCAGGGAAGCCGUUAAGUUUGCCGCCUGGGAAGUACGUACGCAAGUAUGAAACUUAAAGGAAUUGGCGGGGGAGCACCACAAGGGGUGAAGCCUGCGGUUC
rnacentral:rRNA from 1 species